CCUACGGGUGGCUGCAGUGGGGAAUAUUGGACAAUGGGCGAAAGCCUGAUCCAGCCAUGCCGCGUGUGUGAAGAAGGCCUUCGGGUUGUAAAGCACUUUCAGUGGGGAAGAAAGCCUUGGGGCUAAUACCCUCGAGGAAGGACAUCACCCACAGAAGAAGCACCGGCUAACUCCGUGCCAGCAGCCGCGGUAAUACGGAGGGUGCGAGGUUAAUCGGAAUUACUGGGCGUAAAGCGCGCGUAGGCGGUCUGAUAAGCCGGUUGUGAAAGCCCCGGGCUCAACCUGGGAACGGCAUCCGGAACUGUCAGGCUAGAGUGCAGGAGAGGAAGGUAGAAUUCCCGGUGUAGCGGUGAAAUGCGUAGAGAUCGGGAGGAAUACCAGUGGCGAAGGCGGCCUUCUGGACUGACACUGACGCUGAGGUGCGAAAGCGUGGGUAGCAAACAGGAUUAGAUACCCUAGUAGUC
rnacentral:rRNA from 1 species